AGGACGAACGCUGGCGGCGUGCCUAACACAUGCAAGUCGAACGAGGUCCAAGGAAGCUUGCUUCCUGAAGACCUAGUGGCGAACGGGUGAGUAACACGUGAGAAACCUGCCUCGGAGUGGGGAAUAGCUCGGGGAAACUCGAGCUAAUGCCGCAUACCUUCACAUGAUCGCAUGGUCGAGUGAAGAAAGAAUUUCGCUCUGAGAGGGUCUCGCGGCCUAUCAGCUUGUUGUGGGGUAACGGCCUACCCAAGGCAACGACGGGUAGCUGGUUUUGAGAGAACGAUCAGCCACACUGGGACUGAGACACGGCCCAGACUCCUACGGGAGGCAGCAGUGGGGAAUCUUGCGCAAUGGGCGAAAGCCCUGACGUAGCAACGCCGCGUGCGGGAUGACGGCCUUCGUGGUUGUAAACCGCUUUCAGCAGGGACGAAAAUGACGGUACCUGCAGAAGAAGCCCCGGCUAACUACGUG
rnacentral:rRNA from 1 species